CUGAGAACAAUGAGAUGGGCGCACACAUGCACAUGAAGAGUCCAUUUUACUUUUUCAGUCUUUGAACGAAAACAACGACUCCCGGUCGGAAUAUUAUCGCUAUUUUACGAGAAAAAUCGCAUAAAAAUUGAUUUUAAACAGCGUUUGACAUGCUUCGAAGUACGGUAAUGGAAUAUUUUGCAUUUUUUUGUCACGAUACCCGUCCGCGCAUCACCCUUCGUUACCCUUCGGAUAGUGUCUUGAACGCACGAACAAAACGCCGCUAUUUGGAUAUAACUAUGGAUUAUUUGGAACCAAACCAACAUUUGUUGUUGAAGUAGAAGUUCUGGGAGUGCAUUCUGACGAAGAACAGCAAAGUCCACUUGGUCGAGCAUUUUUGGGGCAGCGAUCGGUGCCCCCAGGCAAACUGCAGUCGACGGUGAAGAAGAUCUUGGCCCCGAAGUCUGCAGUUCCAAGGCUGUCUGCUUCCCGAACAGCUCUGCGAUCAGCUCUGCAAUCCGCAGAGACUUCACAUGCAGAGCUGGUCGUUAUGGCCGUAGAAGUUGAAAAGUACAAAGGAAGGUACAUUGGGUAAGGUAGAUUUGGAUUAAAUUCCUGGGUCACCCUGCGCAUCACUGCCAGUUUCCAGCGUUUCUGACCUACAGGUGUUCUUGUGACCUGGCGGUUGUGCGCACUUUGGGGAACAGCGUCACUCAGCUAUGCACCAAGCUGUCUGAGGGCCACAGCGAAGCCUGGAUGCGGUGGUCUAAACAGUACCUCGGCGAGUGCAAGCACUUCCUUGCCUCGUGCACCAUCCGGCCACAGUUCCCACCAAUACCAGAAAUGCCGGUGGUGCCCUCACCCGUCUGGCUGCUGACAGUGUACAGCAUGGAUGUGCUGUUGUGGCUUGACGAGGUGACCAAGAAGCUCGCCCGUUACGCUUCGGACACGGGUGCUUGGGCCACAAAUUGUGGGGAAUGAACACAGGCAUGUCCUCACUGCUGGUGAGGGCGAGGGCCUGCUAGCCAUGGUGGCCGGCCUUAUGAAGCGGUACCGACUCGCUGGGAUACCAGCCCCCCAGCUCAUGUACGUGGACCGGGACUGUUGCUCCAAGAUGGUUGCCAUGUUUGGGCUCCCGAGUGGAGCAGCAGUCUAAGGCACUGCAUCUCAGUGCUAGAGGCAUCAUUACAGACACCCUGAUUCGAAUCUAGGCUGUAUCACAACUGGCCGUAAUUGGGAGUCCCAUAGGGUGGCACACAAUUGGCCCAGCGUCGUCUGGGUUUUGAGUCUCAUAGCAAAGGGUCUGGAUACUUAUGUAAAUGUGA
rnacentral:lncRNA from 1 species